CCUCCAAUGGGGCCGGAGGCUUCUACUUCGCCAUCUCAUCCUCGUCCUCCACGGCAGCAGACUGCGCCGAGAUCCUCAGCCGGAGCGCCUCUUCCCACGGAAUCUCGCUCUACCGUGGCUGGAGCUUCGACUCCAAGUCUUCUAUCACGCCCCAAGGUUGGCUGGGACGAGUUCACAUCAGGGAAAGGAGCAGAGAAGACUCUACAAUUGUAUUAGCUUAUGGAGCACAUAGAUUGCUGCGGUUGUGAAAGGUUCAAAGUCCACACAGUAUCAAGUACAAUGGUACAAUUCAAGGUCUCAAGUACAAUGGUGCUUAAGUUGUGCUGUUCUGGUGCCAUCUACCUACUCUUUGUAAUUUUCAGACCAUCUCUCUGGUGCAUGAUCACUGUUUUGUCCUGAAAUUGGUUAGAAGAUUUAUUUUUUACUCAUCAUUCAUAUGUUGACAAAGCAGUAAUUGAAUGUCGUUGCCUUUCUCUAUUUGUUUUUACAGGGGAAUUUUGUGGGCUUACCGUCAACAGACCGGGGAUGCUGGUGCAUACAGUUGUUGAGCAUCCUAGCUCAACUUUGGGUUCUGCAAAAGUUGGUAACAGUGAUUGUUCAAAGAAAGAAGAACUGGUCUUACCAACUGAUAGCAAACAUGAUUCUGCAAAGUUUUCUGAAGAUAGUUCCCAGGAAGUGAGAAAGUGCUCUGAAUUGCGGGCAUCUGAUUUGGCUGCUCCAUUGAGUGAUGAACAGCUUGCAUUACUGUUGAUAGUGAGGACACUAGGAGGAUAGAAAAAAGACAUAGAGAUGCUGGCACAGAACGUGCUUCUUCUGCGAAGGACUCAUGCAGAUCAGCUGAAAAUGUACAUCAGAACAGAAAUGUGUGCCAUAUUAUAUGCAGCCGUUUUGUUUUUU